GUUGACUCAAAUAUUCAUUUGCAAGCUCUAUCUCUAUAAUCUCAAGGAGGAAAUUUAUACCUGAGAUGGCAUAGGUGUGUCAAGUCUUGUUGUUUCCAUCGGGAGUAUCUUUGUAUCUACAUGUGCAGUUUGCACAAAUUUCCUGUUGGAGUUGCAAAGAUUUGUGAGCAUUGUUUUGGUUUCACUCAAGCCUGCCAUGAAUUUAUAUAGGUAGCACACAAUUCAGAGGAGGACCAAAAGUGAUGUCAUGUAAAUCAAUCCUUAUGAGUUAUGUACUGCAAUGUGAUUUUUCAGUAGUAUACAAUGCUCUAGGCAUUCAUGUUAACCAAAAGUGAUUUUCAGUAGCAUACAUUGCUCUAGUAGCAUACUGCACUGUGAUUUUCAGUGGCAUACUGCACUGUGAUCUCAUGUAAAUCAAGCGUGAUUAUAUAACUCAUGUUUUGCAAUCCAAUUUCAAACUACUGCUAAGUCUUGUUAACGAUGUAUCAAUACAUGUAUUUGUGUGUUAAUGAUGUAUCAAUAUAUGUGUUGUGUUGCUAUAA